UUAUCCGGAUUUAUUGGGUUUAAGGGGUGCGUAGACGGUUUGAUAAGUUAGAGGUGAAAUCCCGGGGCUUAACUCCGGAACUGCCUCUAAUACUGUUAGACUAGAGAGUAGUUGCGGUAGGCGGAAUGUAUGGUGUAGCGGUGAAAUGCUUAGAGAUCAUACAGAACACCGAUUGCGAAGGCAGCUUACCAAACUAUAUCUGACGUUGAGGCACGAUAGCGUGGGGAGCAAACAGGAUUAGAUACCCUGGUAGUCCACGCAGUAAACGAUGAUAACUCGUUGUCGGCGAUACACAG
rnacentral:rRNA from 1 species